UACGGAGGGUGCAAGCGUUGCUCGGAAUUAUUGGGCGUAAAGGGUAGGUAGGUGGUCUCAUUUGUCUGGGGUGAAAGCCUUGGGCUUAACUCAAGAAGUGCCCCGGAAACGGUGAGACUAGAGUCCUGGAGAGGGUCGUGGAAUUCCCGGUGUAGCGGUGAAAUGCGUAGAGAUCGGGAGGAACACCAGAGGCGAAGGCGGCGGCCUGGACAGGAACUGACACUCAACUACGAAAGCGUGGGGAGCAAACAGG
rnacentral:rRNA from 1 species